rnacentral:rRNA from 1 species
GACAGCAGUCGCCGCGGUAAUACGUAGGUGGCAAGCGUUGUCCGGAAUUAUAGGGCGUAAAGGGCUCGCAGGCGGUUUCUUAAGACUGAUGUGAAAGCCCCCGGCUCAACCGGGGAGGGUCAUUGGAAACUGGGAAACUUGAGUGCAGAAGAGGAGAGUGGAAUUCCACGUGUAGCGGUGAAAUGCGUAGAGAUGUGGAGGAACACCAGUGGCGAAGGCGACUCUCUGGUCUGUAACUGACGCUGAGGAGCGAAAGCGUGGGGAGCGAACAGGAUUAGAUACCCCGGUAGUCCCUGUCUCUUAUAC